rnacentral:rRNA from 1 species
GAUCCUGGCUCAGAUUGAACGCUGGCGGCAGGCUUAACACAUGCAAGUCGAACGGUAACAUGAAGAAGCUUGCUUCUUUGAUGACGAGUGGCGGACGGGUGAGUAAUGCUUGGGAAUCUAGCUUAUGGAGGGGGAUAACUACGGGAAACUGUAGCUAAUACCGCGUAGUAUCGGAAGAUGAAAGUGUGGGACCUUCGGGCCACAUGCCAUAGGAUGAGCCCAAGUGGGAUUAGGUAGUUGGG